CCUACGGGAGGCAGCAGUGGGGAAUAUUGCACAAUGGGGGAAACCCUGAUGCAGCGACGCCGCGUGAGUGAAGAAGUAAUUCGGUAUGUAAAGCUCUAUCAGCAGGGAAGAAAAUGACGGUACCUGAGUAAGACGCCCCGGCUAACUACGUGCCAGCAGCCGCGGUAAUACGUAGGGGGCAAGCGUUAUCCGGAUUUACUGGGUGUAAAGGGAGCGUAGACGGCAGUGCAAGUCUGGAGUGAAGGGCGGGGGCUCAACCCACGGACUGCUCUGGAAACUGUACGGCUGGAGUGCAGGAGAGGUAAGUGGAAUUCCUAGUGUAGCGGUGAAAUGCGUAGAUAUUAGGAGGAACACCAGUGGCGAAGGCGGCUUACUGGACUGUAACUGACGUUGAGGCUCGAAAGCGUGGGGAGCAAACAGGAUUAGAUACCCUUGUAGUC
rnacentral:rRNA from 1 species